UGUCUAGUCGUUUCUGGGUCCUAGUCUGA
rnacentral:piRNA from 1 species